AGCUCAUAGUAUCAAAAUGAUCAUUGCAGAAAUGUGUUAUAACAUCUGGUUAGAGAGGAACUCAAGGUUGUUUAGGAAUGUGUCAAGUUCAUAUGGGCAUUUACUUAGAAAUAUUGCAUACACAUGUCAUAUUAGGAGUCCUAUUAAGUUUAGCCUGCAACUCCAGCAUUUUCCCUGUAAUUAGAAAUAGAGGCAUAGUAAAUAGAUGUUGG
rnacentral:lncRNA from 1 species